UACGUAGGCAGCAAGCGUUGUUCGGAGUUACUGGGCGUAAAGGGUGCGUAGGCGGUUGUUUAAGUUUGGUGUGAAAUCUCCCGGCUCAACUGGGAGGGUGCGCCGAAUACUGAAUGACUAGAGUGCGGGAGAGGAGAGUGGAAUUCCUGGUGUAGCGGUGAAAUGCGUAGAUAUCAGGAGGAACACCGGUGGCGAAGGCGGGUCUCUGGGCCGGUACCGACGCUGAGGAGCGAAAGCGUGGGGAGCGAACAGG
rnacentral:rRNA from 1 species